rnacentral:lncRNA from 1 species
CUUUCCUCCAAUGGCUCCGAUUCCUCCUCCUCUCGCCCUGCCCCCAACGCAUCCUCGCCGUCGCCGUCGACGCCGCCUUCCUCUCCGCCCUUCUCGUCAUCGCCCUCCUUAAACUCGCUUCAAGCCGCAAUCACUGGGCCGCCGUCGAAUGCGCGCUGCUCGCGCUCCACUUCCUCGCCCACCUCGCCGCCGCCGCCGCUCUUAUUAUACACAGGCGAAACCUUACAUCCGCGACGAUCCGGGUCUUCUGGAUCGCNUCCUCCAAUGGCUCCGAUUCCUCCUCCUCUCGCCCUGCCCCCAACGCAUCCUCGCCGUCGCCGUCGACGCCGCCUUCCUCUCCGCCCUUCUCGUCCUCGCCCUCCUCCGUCUCCGUCCCCGCUCCGAUCACUGGGCCGCCGUCGAAUGCGCGCUGCUCGCGCUCCACUUCCUCGCCCACCUCGCCGCCGCCGCCGCUCUUAUUAUACACAGGCGAAACCUUACAUCCGCGACGAUCCGGGUCUUCUGGAUCGCCACCUUCGGCGUCGCCGCGCUCUUCGCCGCCGCCGCGGCGCUCCGCUUCUGCAACGCCGCCGCCAUCCUCCCCGACGACGCCGCCUCCCUCGCCUUCCUCGCCGCCGCCGCCC